rnacentral:rRNA from 1 species
UACGUAGGGGGCAAGCGUUGUCCGGAUUUAUUGGGCGUAAAGAGCGUGUAGGCGGCCAUACAGGUCAGCUGUGAAAACUCGAGGCUCAACCUCGAGACGUCGGUUGAAACCGUAUGGCUAGAGUCCGGAAGAGGAGAGUGGAAUUCCCGGUGUAGCGGUGAAAUGCGCAGAUAUCGGGAAGAACACCUAUGGCGAAGGCAGUGUCCUGGGUGGUCGCUGACGCUGAGAGGCGAAAGCCAGGGGAGCGAACGGG